GAAAGGACGACAAACGGACGACAAACGCUCGAUAUGCUCGACAUUGUUUUUUCGCAUCGAUUUUUUGACAGAUUGACGAAUCGCCCGUGUCGACGAAAAUACUUUGACAGUUUGAAUCAAGCAAAAACAUGUUAUGACGAACAAAAGUGCAAGAUUGUAGUUAAAAAUUGCGAAUAAAUGCAAAACAAAAUUGCAGCAACCGGAUACCAGGUCACCCGUGGAACUGUAGUUCGAUGCCGGAAAUAGCAUCGGCCUAACCGCCGCAGUACUACAGUCGGCACCGAUCCUGGCCUAAGGCCAACACCAUCAGGCACGACACAAUCCGGCUGGGGACAACCGCGGUCUCGUAAAUGUAAAUACCACUAAUCACUUUCAUCGCCCGGUCGCGCUUCUAAUACGAAAGAUGCCGCUAAUCCACUUUAUUCAAUACCGAAGAUGCAGUAGGUUCCCUUGCCUCAGCAGUAGCCCCGAAUCGUGCCGAGGAUCGUGUCAGGGGACACAGGAGGACGUACUUAACAAGAUUUACAAAGAUUCGGCGAUUCAACCUCCUCUACGACGUUCGCAGCAUCUACACCCGGAUCCGGAGAACGCAUCCCAUAGUAACCCAGGAUGCUCCGGAAAUGAGCGGAUCUCCCGCCGGCAUGGGACCGAAGCAUUACAAAUCACCACCACAUCUCCACCAUCCGCCUUCACUGAAUCAUCAGCCGCAACACGGACCGCCCGUCGUGCCCGUUCCCAAGUCCGAGUUCGACGAUAACAGGCGUUGUGAUGAAGACGGAACCUACGCCUAGACUGCGACGGCCGCCACCGUAGGGAUGACUCCUACCAAACAGUCGUGCUAGUCCAACCUCAUCGAGUACGGCGCUGACUAGUGGAGUCCGAACAAUCCGUCCGGCAAGCGAAAGUACUCGCGCGAUCAGCUGAUACAGUUCAAGAAUGCGGCAACGGCUCACGAAAAACCGGCUGGAUCUUCGUAAUUGUCCUAACCAUGGAGGAG